rnacentral:tRNA from 1 species
GUGCCCGUAGCUCAACGGAGAGAGCAUCGGACUCCGGAUCCGAGGGUUGCGGGUUCGACUCCCGCCGGGCACA